UACACCCACUAUCCGCCCGGGAACUACGAGCAAAAGCUUAAAACCCAAAGGACUUGGCGGUGCUUUAGAUCCACCUAGAGGAGCCUGUUCUAGAACCGAUAACCCCCGUUCAACCUCACCUUUCCUUGUUUUUCCCGCCUAUAUACCGCCGUCGUCAGCUUACCCUCUGAAGGUCUAAUAGUAAGCAAGACUGGUACAACCUAAAACGUCAGGUCGAGGUGUAGCGUAUGGAAGGGGAAGAAAUGGGCUACAUUCGCUACUACAGCGAAUACGGAGGGUGUACUGAAACGUACACCUGAAGGAGGAUUUAGCAGUAAGCAGGAAAUAGAGCGUCCCGCUGAAAUCGGCCCUGAAGCGCGCACACACCGCCCGUCACUCUCCCCGAAAACACCCACUCAGUUAAUUAAAACCUAAUAAUUAUAGAGGGGAGGCAAGUCGUAACAUGGUAAGUGUACCGGAAGGUGCACUUGGAAAAAU
rnacentral:rRNA from 1 species